rnacentral:rRNA from 1 species
UACGGGGGGGGCAAGCGUUGUUCGGAAUUACUGGGCGUAAAGGGCUCGUAGGCGGCCAACUAAGUCAGACGUGAAAUCCCUCGGCUUAACCGGGGAACUGCGUCUGAUACUGGAUGGCUUGAGUUUGGGAGAGGGAUGCGGAAUUCCAGGUGUAGCGGUGAAAUGCGUAGAUAUCUGGAGGAACACCGGUGGCGAAGGCGGCGUCCUGGACCAAUACUGACACUAAAACGCGAAAGCCAGGGGAGCAAACGGG